rnacentral:snRNA from 1 species
AUUGCUUCUUGGCCUUUUGGAUUAGAUCAAGGGCACUAUCUGCUUUUAUCAGAUUAAUAUCUAAUAUGUCUUCUAUCUGAGGACAAUACACUAAAUGGAUUUUUAGAGCAAGGAGGUGGGAUAGGAGUUGCUUCAGCCACUUCACACACUGACGUGAUCUCGUACCUUCAGAAAUGGUGCAUCUCCU